UCUGCACAGUGUUGGAUCUUGGAGCUGAGGCCGCUGGCUGGCCGUUGAGCUCAAAAGUGUAGGUAGUGUGCAGACAAGGGCCAUGUUUCCUGCUAACACCACAAGUGUCUCUGGGCCAAUGAGUGGAGUGUAAUAGUAAUUUUUUUUUAAAGA
ensembl:snoRNA SNORA62 Small nucleolar RNA SNORA62/SNORA6 family